UCAGACAUGGUGUAUUGGGAACACAGCGUCUUCUCCCAGAGGCAGUCCAGGGUUCGACUCCUUGUGUCUGAA